AGUGAACGCUGGCGGUAGGCCUAACACAUGCAAGUCGAACGGCAGCACAGUAAGAGCUUGCUCUUACGGGUGGCGAGUGGCGGACGGGUGAGGAAUACAUCGGAAUCUACUUUUUCGUGGGGGAUAACGUAGGGAAACUUACGCUAAUACCGCAUACGACCUACGGGUGAAAGCAGGGGAUCUUCGGACCUUGCGCGAUUGAAUGGGCCGAUGUCGGAUUAGCUAGUUGGCGGGGUAAAGGCCCACCAAGGCGACGAUCCGUAGCUGGUCUGAGAGGAUGAUCAGCCACACUGAAACUGAGACACGGUCCAGACUCCUACGGGAGGCAGCAGUGGGGAAUAUUGGACAAUGGGCGCAAGCCUGAUCCAGCCAUACUGCGUGGGUGAAGAAGGCCUUCGGGUUGUAAAGCCCUUUUGUUGGGAAAGAAAAGCAGCAGGUUAAUACCCCGCUGUUCUGACGGUACCCAAAGAAUAAGCACCGGCUAACUUCGUG
rnacentral:rRNA from 1 species